GAGAGUAGUUGAGUAUCAGGUCGCUCAAAAGGUGAUUUGGCUCGGGUGGCGGACCACUACUUUCACAAUCCACGACACACAACUUAUGGAAACUAUUAAUUCCCAAAUUAAAAAGAUCAUUAAGGAAAAGUGUCCGUCAGGUCUAAUUGAAAGGUGACUACUUAGUCGUGAGCUGUUCACGGCACACAAGGAUCCCAAGUCUGAGUGUAAUUUUACCAAAGACCUCUAAUCCCGCAAGGACGAGCUGGGGAGGCAUCCUCGGAGAGAGUUGAGUAAUGAGAGAGUAGAUUAGACCUCAAGGAGUGGUUUACCUAAAUAACCGUCACUGAGAAAUACUUCUCAAAAGGAAGUGGAUAGGAGUAGAAUAAAUAAUGACUCUAAAGGUUCUCACAAAAAACUGUAAUCUCAGGUU
rnacentral:sRNA from 10 species